CUCCUACUGAAUGGAAGUACCGGCCACCUCGGAUAAAUGAUAAAUAAUGUCUGUCAAAGCAAAAUCAAUGUAACAUAUAUCGCCCAAUAUCAAGGUUAUGUCGUGUCGUCUGUGGAAAUCCAAACAUGUUGUUAUCGUUAAUAAAAACUAAAUUAUUCUGAAA